rnacentral:tRNA from 1 species
GGCUCGGUGGUGUAGUUGGUUAUCACGUCAGUCUAACAUUCUACGGAUUGCACACUGAAGGUCCCGAGUUCAAACCUCGGCUGAGUCA